GGAGGUAUAGCUUGGUGGUAGAGUGCGUGCUUAGCGUGCACAAGGUCCUGGGUUCAAUCCCAAGUACUUUCG
rnacentral:tRNA from 1 species